GGCGCUGUGGCUUAGUUGGUUAAAGCGUCUGUCUAGUAAACAGGAGAUCCUGAGUUCGAAUCUCAGCAGUGACU
rnacentral:tRNA from 1 species